rnacentral:tRNA from 1 species
GCCCUCGUAGCCCAACGGUAGAGGCACGGUCGUGAGGCGGCCGAGAGGUGGCGCGUUCGAAUCGCCCCGAGGGCACCA